GCUUUCCCAGGCUAACGGAAGGAGAUGCAGACUUUUUUUUUGUUUUUGUUUUUAUUAGGCCUCUUCCAUCAUCCGGAGUGUUGCCGUCUCCGUAUCCCAAACCCAACCUAAUGGAAAGAUUGAAGGCAAACGAGGUCCGGGCAGAAGAAGAACAUCAUGGCUUCAAAACCUAAGGGACUAGUUUGGACAAAACUCAGCAGCACUUUUUCAUGCGGCUGUUGACAAAAAUAGGACUGCCAACAUGAUCGCCAACGUCCAAUGACGGAUAUGACACAAGAAGAAAAAGAAGAAGAAGAGGAAAGUGUUAGGGUCAUCCAACGUAUAUCCUUUUAGAGUACUUUAAGCAAAGCCACAUUCGCUUUUGCAAAACCACAGCAACGUCCAUCUGGAUCCAGCAAACGGUUCCAACAUUCCAGGGAACGUGAGGAAGAUGAACUGUUUGCCACAUUUACAAUGCCCACAGAUUCGCAUUGGCGCAUAUAUAACGGGGGUUGCAAUGCAACCCCAUUAUGAGGGACACAAGAGAGGGAAUUAGAGAAUGGGAGGAGAAUGAAAUGUUUACAGCAUUUACAAUGCCCAUGGAUUCUCAAUGAGGUGGGAAACCACAACCACAUGGGACUGUGGAGGAACAGAUACAGGAAAUGGAGCAGCAGCUAUCCGCAACGCAUGGAUCAGGAAAAAUGGAAAUGCAAGAUAAGAGACGGUGGACUGGUUUCUGCAGACGUUCCAAUGCCUACUGUUUCACAACGAGUUCAAUAGAGUAUUGAACCACAGCAGUCCACUUCACGCAGUGCACCGGAAGUACAGGGACAAGAAAUUGAACCCCGGCCAUCCACAUCCCAUGACAUACAAGAACCAGUUUGUAAAAAGUCAAAAAAGGGGAAUGAGGACUGACAGCCUACAGUCAUAGAAGGUGAUAUUACCAUUGAAGAGUGUGAUAUGUCAGAAACACAAUCAGCAGGGGAAUGGGAACACUCAGAAGAUUCUGACUCGCUAAGUACACCAGAAGCACCUGAUGUCUACCAGGAGAGCAUUCUAUCAUGGCAGAGGGCAGUGCAACACUACAGAGCUAUAGAGUACUACGAACAUUACGGAUUUGUAAAGAUGGAACAUAUUCGAUCAUUCACACGAGCUAUACGUGUUAUUCAUAAUAGAAUGAUACGUUGAAGAAAUUUGGGGACAGAUGCCUCUAUCAAGAUACUGAUUCUGUCAUUUUUAUUAGCAGAGAGCUGACAUGGACCCUGGCAUUAGGUGAUUAUUUAGGACAGCUAACAAGCGAGAUUCCUCCAAACACUUCAAUCACCGAAUUUGUGGCAGCAGAUCCCAAAGGUUAUGGGUAUGCUUUGUCAAACGGGGCAACUGUGUUAAAGGUGAAGGGUCUAAAUUAAAUAGUGCCAACUGUGUUAAGGUUAACUUUGAAAGCUUGAAAGGUUUGGUUGAUGAGUAUUAUCUAACACAGGAUGAGGAAAAGAAAGAGAUAAAAAUACAACAGCCAGGCAUUGUUAGGAUUAAGAAGCAGUGGGCCCUGGAAAUAUGGGUGCUCAGAAAAACUCUACACGUUGUCUAUAAUAAAAGGGUGCUCAAAACAGAGGAUUAUUGUAGGCUACCUUACGGCUAUUAAAUAUGAUGGAAAGCAGUGUGCAGUUUGUACAUCCUUCCUCUUGUAUUAUAAGCGGGCGUUCCAAUUCAGCAAAAUCUUAUUUUAUAAAACAAAUGUUUGAACACGGUGAGCAUGUAUUCUCUCAAGUGCCUCAAAACAUUACAUGAUUUUAUAACUGUUGACAACCUCUGUACAAAGAAUUGUUUAAUAAAUUUCCUAAUAUUAAGUUUA